UACGUAGGGUCCGAGCGUUGUCCGGAAUUAUUGGGCGUAAAGGGCUCGUAGGCGGUUUGUCGCGUCGGGAGUGAAAACACGGGGCUUAACCCCGUGCCUGCUUCCGAUACGGGCAGACUAGAGGUAUGCAGGGGGAGAACGGAAUUCCUGGUGUAGCGGUGAAAUGCGCAGAUAUCAGGAGGAACACCGGUGGCGAAGGCGGUUCUCUGGGCAUUACCUGACGCUGAGGAGCGAAAGUGUGGGGGAGCGAACAGG
rnacentral:rRNA from 1 species